CUGCUAUCAUUACGCCUGAACAUUGGGGAGUAGCCGGCCUUUGGCAACAAAGGAAUCUGCAUCAACACUCUUGGCACGCAUGCCAUGGUGCAGAUAGUCGCAAGACUUGGCGAGACCAUUGAUCAAGUGACGACCGCAUGGGCCGGGGUCGUUGUUUGGUCUUUGGUUAUUCGUCCGGCCCGAGAAAGUC
rnacentral:sRNA from 19 species